rnacentral:rRNA from 1 species
UUUUUUAAUUGAAAACUGGAAUGAAAGGUUGAACGAGAUAUAAGCUGUUUUAUAAAAAAUUUAUUAAAACUUUACUUUUUAGUUAAAAGGCUAAAAUUAGUUUAAAAGACGAGAAGACCCUAUAGAGUUUAAUAAUUUAAUGAUUUUAAAAAAAUUAGAAAAAUUUCAUUUAAAUUUAUUGAUUUAUUUUGUUGGGGUGACAGUAAAAUUUAAUAUACUUUUAUUAUUAAAAACAUUAAUUUAUGAAUUAAUUGAUCCAAUAAUAUUGAUUAAAAAUUUAAAUUACCUUAGGGAUAACAGCGUAAUUUUUUUUUAGAGUUCUUAUCAAUAAAAAUUUUUGC